rnacentral:rRNA from 1 species
GUGGGGAAUAUUGGACAAUGGGCGCAAGCCUGAUCCAGCCAUGCCGCGUGAGUGAUGAAGGCCUUAGGGUUGUAAAGCUCUUUCACCGAUGAAGAUAAUGACGGUAGUCGGAGAAGAAGCCCCGGCUAACUUCGUGCCAGCAGCCGCGGUAAUACGAAGGGGGCUAGCGUUGUUCGGAUUUACUGGGCGUAAAGCGCACGUAGGCGGUUUGUUAAGUCAGGGGUGAAAUCCCGGAGCUCAACUCCGGAACUGCCUUUGAUACUGGCAAGCUAGAGUCCGGAAGAGGUAAGUGGAACUCCUAGUGUAGAGGUGGAAUUCGUAGAUAUUAGGAAGAACACCAGUGGCGAAGGCGGCUUACUGGUCCGGAACUGACGCUGAGGUGCGAAAGCGUGGGGAGCAAACAGGAUUAGAUACCCUUGUAGUCC